GCGCUCCUCUGAAGUCUGAACACAAGCGCGCUAUCUCACCCUGGCCACACAAACCUAAACCUAAACCUAAAUCGCCCACCAGCCGCCGCCACCCUUCAUCUCCGUCGAUUCGGUCAUGCCGCUGCACGUCCCACCGUCGCCCGCGCCACACGAAGCUCCCAUCCAGCCCGCGGUGCAGCCCCACCACCAGCAGCCUGAGGUGACGCCCCGUCGUCAGCUCAUCCAGCGACCGACGCCGCGUGUGCCGAUUCGGUCGCGCCGCUGCGCCUCCACCGCCGGCGGCGCCACGCCGCCACCCGAAGCUCUUGCCCAGCCCGUGGUGCAUCCCGACGUGUCGCCCUGGCGACGGCCGACGUGCUUACCAAUUUGAGCGGUUGCUUCUCCGACUGCCGUUAGUGCCCCCCAAAGCUUCCUUCCACCCCGUGGUGCUUCCAUCCACAGCCAAGGAGCCGCACAACCCCCUGCAUCCCGAGGUGCCACCCAGCCGUCCCUCUUCCACCUCCAGUGAUGGCUCCCCUAUUCCCCCUUGUCAUGCCCUCCUUUGCAUCUAACUGUUGCAUCCUGUAGCGUCUUCAAUUGAAUCUAUGUACAUAGGGAAAACUCCACAAGAGGCUUCUGAAGUUUGGUCAACGCCUACAUGAGGACCAACCUAUAGCUCGUAUGUGCCGCUGGAUAAGGCCAUGUCUUUCGUGGGUGGUGCUUGGCUGAUUUGUACAUGGAUACUAUUAAAGAAUGGUACAAACAUAUAUGGAUUAUGAAAGGUUGAUCCAAGCCAGCUUCAGAAUGAGCUCAAGGCAUACAGGAAGACCGAGGAGGAGGGGAUGAACACACUUUUGAACCACUACCUCCAUUUCUGUGGAGUUUCUCUCAAGAUGCAAGCUGAAAUGCUGGUGAUCGUGAAGAACAGUCCUGUGAAUGGCAUCAUCAAGCUCAUCGAACAGCAUCACAUCACAAACCAUGUCACGGGAACAUCUUCCUUCUCACCGUGUGUCCAGACCAAAUACAGCCUCGUAACAAGGUUUCAUCGAUAAACAUGCACAUAAAAAUUGUUCGUGGACUUCUAUAUAUAUAUUUAGGUAGGAGGUCCUAUUCUUUAAGGAUCUAUUUUAUCCGCUUGUUCAUUGUAAAUACUGAUUUGUGCACCAAACUUGAGUCAUGCCUUGUUCUAACUGAGGCAUCCCUGCACUAUGCAUAUACGUGAUUUUGUUUUACUGCUAGCAAUGUGUCCCAUUUAUUUUAUACUUCUUAGAUGUUCGCCUUAAACUGGUGCACAUAAUUUUCAGCAGGGCAACUUCUUAGCUCAACUGAUGGGUGGAUGUCCUUUCUUACAGUCGUGCAUGCUCUAACCAUUUGUUCUUUCUUGUCGUGAUGGAAGAUGUAACACCAUUUACUUGCUAGUGACAAUGGCACGUCCACAAGUUGAUACAAGAUGUUCUGAUGAUCGGUUUUGUUCAUAGCAUGUUUGACACAUUUCGUGGAUAUGGAAGUUGAGGUCAGCUUGGUGAUCGAAGAUAUUUGGUCUCUUCCUUAUUAUCUUGUAGUAGUCAAGUGAUCGAACAAUUGGGUCUCUUAGGAGCUUAGCCGUCAUAUUUUGUAAUAGACAACGUCUUGUAUGUUGACUUACUUAUUUCCUUAUUGGUUGUAGCUGACUUGAGUGUAGCAAACUAAUGAAUCUUGUAUAUAUGCUUGAAUGAAUGUAUUAAUCAAUGGUAUCUUGUGAUGAA